AAUCUUGCGCAAUGGGCGAAAGCCUGACGCAGCGACGCCGCGUGAGUGAAGAAGGCCUUCGGGUUGUAAAACUCUGUCCUCAGGGAAUAAGCAAGUGACGGUAGCUGAGGAGGAAGCCCCGGCUAACUACGUUCCAGCAGCCGCGGUAAUCAGUAGGGGGCGAGCGUUGUCCGGAAUCAAUGGGCGUAAAGGGUGCGUAGGCGACCUUUUAAGUCAGGUGUGAAAGACCACAGCUUAACUGUGGGGUUGCAUUUAAAACUUGAAGGCUUGAGUAUCGGAGAGAGUAGUGGAAUUCCCAGUGUAGCGGUGGAAUGCGUAGAUAUUGGGAGGAACACCAGUGGCGAAGGCGACUACCUGGACGAAAACUGACGCUGAGGCACGAAAGCUAGGGGAGCAAAC
rnacentral:rRNA from 1 species